rnacentral:rRNA from 1 species
AGACCCGAAACCCGGUGAUCUAGCCAUGGGCAGGUUGAAGGUUGGGUAACACUAACUGGAGGACCGAACCGACUAAUGUUGAAAAAUUAGCGGAUGACCUGUGGCUGGGGGUGAAAGGCCAAUCAAACCGGGAGAUAGCUGGUUCUCCCCGAAAGCUAUUUAGGUAGCGCCUCGUGAAUUCAUCUCCGGGGGUAGAGCACUGUUUCGGCUAGGGGGUCAUCCCGACUUACCAACCCGAUGCAAACUGCGAAUACCGGAGAAUGUUAUCACGGGAGACACACGGCGGGUGCUAACGUCCGUCGUGAAGAGGGAAACAACCCAGACCGCCAGCUAAGGUCCCAAAGUCAUGGUUAAGUGGGAAACGAUGUGGGAAGGCCCAGACAGCCAGGAUGUUGGCUUAGAAGCAGCCAUCAUUUAAAGAAAGCGUAAUAGCUCACUGGUCGAGUCGGCCUGCGCGGAAGAUGUAACGGGGCUAAACCAUGCACCGAAGCUGCGGCAGCGACGCUUAUGCGUUGUUGGGUAGGGGAGCGUUCUGUAAGCCUGUGAAGGUGGCCUGUGAGGGUUGCUGGAGGUAUCAGAAGUGCGAAUGCUGACAUAAGUAACGAUAAAGCGGGUGAAAAGCCCGCUCGCCGGAAGACCAAGGGUUCCUGUCCAACGUUAAUCGGGGCAGGGUGAGUCGACCCCUAAGGCGAGGCCGAAAGGCGUAGUCGAUGGGAAACGGGUUAAUAUUCCCGUACUUGGUGUUACUGCGAAGGGGGGACGGAGAAGGCUAUGUUGGCCGGGCGACGGUUGUCCCGGUUUAAGCGUGUAGGUGUGUGUUCCAGGUAAAUCCGGUUCACUUUAACAC